rnacentral:lncRNA from 1 species
AUAACAUGUUUUUAUAUUAUAAUUUUUCAAAGAAAAAUUCACAAUUAAAGUCACUCUACUGGGUUCAACGCCCAGGCCCAUUUGCCUGGGCCCAAACUUGCUCAAAUGAGUCCCAUGUCGGGCCUUGUUGCAAGUCUGACCCAAUUCAUGCCAUGUCCCAAACCAUUACACAAUACAAUAAUAACGUCUAUUACAGAAAAAGAAAAGGGUCCAACUGCUAUGACCCUAUACUAAAUUAAACAAAAAUAAAUUUAAAAAUUAUUAUAACAGUCCAUUUCCACUACUGAAAGUCCAUGAAUUUACAUAAUUCUCCUGAAUACAAUUAUGUGUCUAAAAAAGAGUUAAGGUAAAAAGCCAACUUUCUUCCUAACUUGGAGUCUUCCUGCUAUUACAAAAUCUUUCAAAACAACUCCAACCUGCAAGAAAUAAGCUAUAGAGCUGUUUCUUGCAGGCUAGCAUUUAAUUCCAACUCCGAGGCUUCUUACUGCUCAACAGGCUUUUGUUUUAGCUUAGAUUUUCAUGGAUCUGACCAUGUGAAAGGUUAGAUUCACAAAAAAUGUCUUCAAAUGUAUGGACCUACUGCAUUAUCAAAUCAAACUUAAGUAACCCAAUGUAAGAAUAAGUAAAAGAAAAAGCAAUAUUGUUCAUGAGUCUGACCAUGUUUAAGGUCAACCUCACAAGCAAACCAAGGCUUCCAACCCAUGGUCCUACUCUAAGUUCACAUAGAGAUCAAUUUUAGUAAAAAAAAAAGGUAAAGGAAACAAACUUAGUCAUAUGCUGAAUGAAUCGAGGCAAAAACAAAUAGAGUUAAUAGGGUUUGCUGAACAAUCAUACUUGAGAGAAAAGCAGGCAAUAAGAUAGUUCACACAAGUGCCACUUGUUAGCAUAUCAAGGACUUAUCAGAAAGCAGACAUGAAUAUUAAACUUCAGAUUUGAACAAGAAGAUUCAUUCCAAUAAAAUGGAUGUGAUUACAUACCUAAAAAUGAUCCAAAACACAGAAACAAAGAGGACCAAAUAAAGGUCAGUAAACAAGGCUGAUUCAGAGCUUAAAUCCACAGCAAUCAGACAAAAGCUACUCAGAAGUUCCAAUCAGAAAUCAGCAAGAAAACCAACCAGUUUCAACCAGCAAACCACAGCUAAGAGAAACCCAUUUUAGAGUGUUUUUGUAUCUAUCUUGGUAUUUUUUAGAAUCAGUAUGGAUUUUUAGAAAAGACUAGUAUCUCUAUAUGUUUUUCAGAACUUUUGAAUGCAGAAAAUGCUAAAAAU